rnacentral:rRNA from 1 species
GACGAACGCUGGCGGCGUGCUUAACACAUGCAAGUCGAACGGUGAACGAGGGAGCUUGCUCCCUCCGGAUCAGUGGCGAACGGGUGAGUAACACGUGAGCAAUCUGCCCCGCACUCUGGGAUAAGCGUUGGAAACGACGUCUAAUACCGGAUACGCCGCGGGAGGGCAUCCUCUCCGCGUGGAAAGAACUUCGGUUCGGGAUGAGCUCGCGGCCUAUCAGCUUGUUGGUGAGGUAACGGCUCACCAAGGCGACGACGGGUAGCCGGCCUGAGAGGGUGACCGGCCACACUGGGACUGAGACACGGCCCAGACUCCUACGGGAGGCAGCAGUGGGGAAUAUUGCACAAUGGGCGCAAGCCUGAUGCAGCAACGCCGCGUGAGGGACGACGGCCUUCGGGUUGUAAACCUCUUUUAGCAGGGAAGAAGCGAAAGUGACGGUACCUGCAGAAAAAGCACCGGCUAACUACGUG